GGAAGGAGUCACGUCCAGACGCAGCUUCCGGUUCCUUUUGCGGUGAUUGCUACGGUAACGCGGCCGGUAGUCCUGCGAUGGCGUGCACCAGAGAGGAGGUGGCCUUCCAUGCCUCACCGGCUGAGGCCAGCCGCGAACCUGGCGUGUCCUGGUCUGCCCGGGGCUCCAGCCUCCGACCCGCCAUGCACAUGGACAUCCAAGCCGUGUCCUGCGGCCUCCCGUGGGAUUCUUCCUCCAGAAUGAGGUUUUUUUUUUUUUUAGCAUAAAACUAUAAGUAUUGUGUAUGUAUGAUCUGCGUGCAUGCAUCUUCAGAAGACGACUUUUAUAAAGGGUCCGGGGAUGGAACUCUAGCUUGCAGGAUCCUCUGAUUCCAGGUACCAUACAAAGAUGUUUACAAGAAAUGCAGAGGUAAAACAGCUGCUCCGAAAGCCAACCUUUUGUGUCCUUAACGGCAGAGUGUCAGUUAAAUCGCCCCAGCGCCCGGAAGCUUUUAUUCAUGUUUACACUGCUGUGAGUAGUUAUAAAUAAAUAAACCAAUAAAUAAAUGCUGGCAGUUUGCU
rnacentral:lncRNA from 1 species